CCUACGGGAGGCAGCAGUGAGGAAUAUUGCACAAUGGCGGAAACCCUGAUGCAGCAACGCCGCGUGAAGGAAGACGGUUUUCGGAUUUGAAACUUCUGUUCAUAGGGAAGAAUAAUUACGGUAGCUAAGUAACAAGCCACUGCUAACUACGUGCCAGCAGCCGCGGUAAUACGUAGGUGGCAAGCGUUGUCCGGAAUUACUGGGUGUAAAGGGAGCGCAGGCGGGAAGCCAAGUCAGCUGUGAAAACUACGGGCUUAACUUGUAGACUGCAGUUGAAACUGGUUUUCUUGAGUGAAGUAGAGGUAGGCGGAAUGCCGGGUGUAGCGGUGAAAUGCGUAGAUAUUCGGAGGAACACCGGUGGCGAAGGCAGCCAACUGGGCUUUAACUGACGCUGAGGCUCGAAAGUGUGGGGAGCAAACAGGAUUAGAUACCCUUGUAGUC
rnacentral:rRNA from 1 species